GAGGGUAUAGCUCAGUGGUAGAGAUUGCAUGCAUGAGGUCCUGGGUUCAAUCCCCAGUACCUCCA
rnacentral:tRNA from 1 species